rnacentral:rRNA from 1 species
GACCGAGGGUGCAAACGUUGCUCGGAAUCACUGGGCGUAAAGGGCGUGUAGGCGGGAAUGUACGUCGGGCGUGAAAUCCCUAGGCUCAACCUAGGAACUGCACUCGAAACUGCGUUUCUUGAGUAUCGGAGAGGAAAGCGGAAUACCUGGUGUAGAGGUGAAAUUCGUAGAUAUCAGGUGGAACACCAGUGGCGAAGGCGGCUUUCUGGACGAUAACUGACGCUGAGACGCGAAAGCGUGGGGAGCAAACAGG